rnacentral:rRNA from 1 species
GACGAACGCUGGCGGCGCGCCUAACACAUGCAAGUCGAACGAGAGAGAGGGAGCUUGCUUCCUCAAUCGAGUGGCGAACGGGUGAGUAACGCGUGAGGAACCUGCCUCAAAGAGGGGGACAACAGUUGGAAACGACUGCUAAUACCGCAUAAGCCCACAGGUCGGCAUCGACCAGAGGGAAAAGGAGCAAUCCGCUUUGAGAUGGCCUCGCGUCCGAUUAGCUAGUUGGUGAGGUAACGGCCCACCAAGGCAACGAUCGGUAGCCGGACUGAGAGGUUGAACGGCCACAUUGGGACUGAGACACGGCCCAGACUCCUACGGGAGGCAGCAGUGGGGAAUAUUGCACAAUGGGGGAAACCCUGAUGCAGCGACGCCGCGUGGAGGAAGAAGGUCUUCGGAUUGUAAACUCCUGUUGUUGAGGAAGAUAAUGACGGUACUC